rnacentral:rRNA from 1 species
AGCAGCCGCGGUAAUUCCAGCUCCAAUAGCGUAUAUUAAAGUUGUUGCAGUUAAAAAGCUCGUAGUUGAAUUUCGGGAUCAGUUGAUCGGUCGUGCCUCGGUACGUACUGGUCAAAUUGAUUCCUACCUUCUGACGAACCACGAUGUCAUUAAUUUGGUGUCGCGGGAAAUCAGGACUGUUACUUUGAAAAAUUAGAGUGUUUAAAGCAGGCUCGCGCUUGAAUACAUUAGCAUGGAAUAAUGAAAUAGGACGUUUGAUUCUAUUUUGUUGGUUUCUAGGAUCGACGUAAUGAUUAAUAGGGAUAGUUGGGGGCAUUAGUAUUCAAUUGUCAGAGGUGAAAUUCUUGGAUUUAUUGAAGACUAACUACUGCGAAAGCAUUUGCCAAGGAUGUUUUCAUUAAUCAAGAACGAAAGUUAGGGGAUCGAAGACGAUCAGAUACCGUCGUAGUCUUAACCAUAAACUAUGCCGACU